rnacentral:rRNA from 1 species
GACGAACGCUGGCGGCGUGCUUAACACAUGCAAGUCGAACGGAAAGGCCCUGCUUUUGUGGGGUGCUCGAGUGGCGAACGGGUGAGUAACACGUGAGUAACCUGCCCUUGACUUUGGGAUAACUUCAGGAAACUGGGGCUAAUACCGGAUAGGAGCUCCUGCUGCAUGGUGGGGGUUGGAAAGUUUCGGCGGUUGGGGAUGGACUCGCGGCUUAUCAGCUUGUUGGUGGGGUAGUGGCUUACCAAGGCUUUGACGGGUAGCCGGCCUGAGAGGGUGACCGGCCACAUUGGGACUGAGAUACGGCCCAGACUCCUACGGGAGGCAGCAGUGGGGAAUAUUGCACAAUGGGCGGAAGCCUGAUGCAGCAACGCCGCGUGCGGGAUGACGGCCUUCGGGUUGUAAACCGCUUUCGCCUGUGACGAAGCGUGAGUGACGGUAAUGGGUAAAGAAGCACCGGCUAACUACGUGCCAGCAGCCGCGGUGAUACGUAGGGUGCGAGCGUUGUCCGGAUUUAUUGGGCGUAAAGGGCUCGUAGGUGGUUGAUCGCGUCGGAAGUGUAAUCUUGGGGCUUAACCCUGAGCGUGCUUUCGAUACGGGUUGACUUGAGGAAGGUAGGGGAGAAUGGAAUUCCUGGUGGAGCGGUGGAAUGCGCAGAUAUCAGGAGGAACACCAGUGGCGAAGGCGGUUCUCUGGGCCUUUCCUGACGCUGAGGAGCGAAAGCGUGGGGAGCGAACAGGCUUAGAUACCCUGGUAGUCCACGCUGUAAACGGUGGGUACUAGGUGUGGGGUCCAUUCCACGGGUUCCGUGCCGUAGCUAACGCUUUAAGUACCCCGCCUGGGGAGUACGGCCGCAAGGCUAAAACUCAAAGGAAUUGACGGGGCCCCGCACAAGCGGCGGAGCAUGCGGAUUAAUUCGAUGCAACGCGUAGAACCUUACCUGGGUUUGACAUGGAUCGGGAGCGCUCAGAGAUGGGUGUGCCUCUUUUGGGGUCGGUUCACAGGUGGUGCAUGGCUGUCGUCAGCUCGUGUCGUGAGAUGUUGGGUUAAGUCCCGCAACGAGCGCAACCCUUGUUCACUGUUGCCAGCACGUUAUGGUGGGGACUCAGUGGAGACCGCCGGGGUCAACUCGGAGGAAGGUGGGGAUGACGCCAAGUCAUCAUGCCCCUUAUGUCCAGGGCUUCACGCAUGCUACAAUGGCUGGUACAGAGAGUGGCGAGCCUGUGAGGGUGAGCGAAUCUCGGAAAGCCGGUCUCAGUUCGGAUUGGGGUCUGCAACUCGACCUCAUGAAGUCGGAGUCGCUAGUAAUCGCAGGUCAGCAACGCUGCGGUGAAUACGUUCCCGGGGCU